rnacentral:misc_RNA from 1 species
UCCUAGUUAACCUAGGCAGUCUCAUUAGAGUUCCCACCCUAAGUGCUGGCAACUAAUGAUAAGGGUUGCGCUCGUUGCGGGACUUAACCCAACACCUCACGGCACGAGCUGACGACAGCCAUGCAGCACCUAUACAGCGGCUCUUUCGAGAGAUCCUCUUUCAAGGACUGUCCCCUGUACUUCUAGCCUGGGUAAGGUUCUGCGCGUUGCAUCGAAUUAAACCACAUGCUCCACUGCUUGUGCGGGCCCCCGUCAAUUCUUUUGAGUUUCACCCUUGCGAGCGUACUCCUCAGGCGGUAUACUUAUCGCGUUAGCUACGACACAGUCGGGGUUGAGUCCAACUACAUCAAGUAUACAUCGUUUACGGCAAGGACUAC